rnacentral:rRNA from 1 species
UACGAAGGGGGCUAGCGUUGUUCGGAAUUACUGGGCGUAGAGCGUGCGCAGGCGGCUUCUCAAGUCAGGGGUGAAAUCCUGGAGCUCAACUCCAGAACUGCCUUUGAUACUGAGGAUCUUGAGUUCGGGAGAGGUGAGUGGAACUGCGAGUGUAGAGGUGAAAUUCGUAGAUAUUCGCAAGAACACCAGUGGCGAAGGCGGCUCACUGGCCCGAUACUGACGCUGAGGCACGAAAGCGUGGGGAGCAAACAGG